GGUUCACUCCUCCUGGGUAACUUCUCCGGUUCCUCCUCAGCGGGACAUUUCUCUAGAGCAGUCUUCCUUGGGUUUGCUUAACAAUGAGCUGAGAAAACGCUAGAGAAAAAUGGCAAAUCGAAAAGAAAAAAAAAAAUGACAAAGGAAAAUCCCCACAAGAGGACCACGCACCACACGUAGCCGCAGCCGAGCCCAGGCGGGGAUGGGAGACUGUGUCCAAAGUGCAGAAUGAACUACAAGUCCCGAAGAAAAAAGGCACAGCGAAUUUAAACAACUCUUUGAAGAUAAAAGAACUAGUAAGUGAUAGAAUGCAGAUUUAAUAAAGGAGCACAAAGAUAACAUGAGCAUACUGCAGAGGGCAGCAACUGUCUUCCAGGCAAGAGAAGAGGCCUCAGAAUGAAACUUACCUGGCUGCACCUUGAUCUUAGACUUACGCACCUCUGAAACUUGAGAAACAAAUGCCUGUUAAGUCAUCCAGUCUAUGGCAUUUUGAUAUGGCAGCUCAAGCUAAGAAACUUACAUAGU